rnacentral:rRNA from 1 species
GAUGAACGCUAGCGGCAGGCUUAACACAUGCAAGUCGAGGGGUAGAGUUCUUCGGAACUUGAGACCGGCGCACGGGUGCGUAACGCGUAUGCAAUCUGCCUUUCACAGAGGGAUAGCCCAGAGAAAUUUGGAUUAAUACCUCAUAGUAUUAUGGAGUGGCAUCACUUUAUAAUUAAAGUCACAACGGUGAAAGAUGAGCAUGCGUCCCAUUAGCUAGUUGGUAAGGUAACGGCUUACCAAGGCAACGAUGGGUAGGGGUCCUGAGAGGGAGAUCCCCCACACUGGUACUGAGACACGGACCAGACUCCUACGGGAGGCAGCAGUGAGGAAUAUUGGUCAAUGGGCGCAAGCCUGAACCAGCCAUGCCGCGUGCAGGAUGACGGUCCUAUGGAUUGUAAACUGCUUUUGCACAGGAAGAAACACUGAUUCGUGAAUCAGCUUGACGGUACUGUGAGAAUAAGGAUCGGCUAACUCCGUG